GAGGGUAUAGCUCAGAGGUAGAGUGCGUGCUUAGUGAGCACAAGGUCCUGGGUUCAACCCCUAGUACCUUCA
rnacentral:tRNA from 1 species